rnacentral:rRNA from 1 species
UUAAGUUAGAAAGGGCGCACGGUGGAUGCCUUGACACUAGGAGUCGAUGAAGGACGGGACUAACGCCGAUAUGCUUCGGGGAGCUGUAAGUAAGCUUUGAUCCGAAGAUUUCCGAAUGGGGAAACCCACCAUACGUAAUGGUAUGGUAUCCUUAUCUGAAUACAUAGGGUAAGGAAGACAGACCCAGGGAACUGAAACAUCUAAGUACCUGGAGGAAGAGAAAGCAAAUGCGAUUUCCUGAGUAGCGGCGAGCGAAACGGAACAUAGCCCAAACCAAGAGGCUUGCCUCUUGGGGUUGUAGGACAUUCUAUACGGAGUUACAAAGGAACGAGGUAGACGAAGCGACCUGGAAAGGUCCGUCGUAGAGGGUAACAACCCCGUAGUCGAAACUUCGUUCUCUCUUGAAUGUAUCCUGAGUACGGCGGAACACGUGAAAUUCCGUCGGAAUCUGGGAGGACCAUCUCCCAAGGCUAAAUACUCCCUAGUGAUCGAUAGUGAACCAGUACCGUGAGGGAAAGGUGAAAAGCACCCCGGAAGGGGAGUGAAAGAGAUCCUGAAACCGUGUGCCUACAAAUAGUCAGAGCCCGUUAACGGGUGAUGGCGUGCCUUUUGUAGAAUGAACCGGCGAGUUACGAUCCCGUGCGAGGUUAAGCUGAAGAGGCGGAGCCGCAGCGAAAGCGAGUCUGAAUAGGGCGUUUAGUACGUGGUCGUAGACCCGAAACCAGGUGAUCUACCCAUGUCCAGGGUGAAGUUCAGGUAACACUGAAUGGAGGCCCGAACCCACGCACGUUGAAAAGUGCGGGGAUGAGGUGUGGGUAGCGGAGAAAUUCCAAUCGAACCUGGAGAUAGCUGGUUCUCCCCGAAAUAGCUUUAGGGCUAGCCUUAAGUGUAAGAGUCUUGGAGGUAGAGCACUGAUUGAACUAGGGGUCCUCAUCGGAUUACCGAAUUCAGUCAAACUCCGAAUGCCAAUGACUUAUCCUUAGGAGUCAGACUGCGAGUGAUAAGAUCCGUAGUCAAAAGGGAAACAGCCCAGACCGCCAGCUAAGGUCCCAAAGUGUGUAUUAAGUGGAAAAGGAUGUGGAGUUGCUUAGACAACUAGGAUGUUGGCUUAGAAGCAGCCACCAUUUAAAGAGUGCGUAAUAGCUCACUAGUCGAGUGACUCUGCGCCGAAAAUGUACCGGGGCUAAAUACACCACCGAAGCUGCGGAUUGAUACCGAAUGGUAUCAGUGGUAGGGGAGCGUUCUAAGGACAGUGAAGUCAGACCGGAAGGACUGGUGGAGUGCUUAGAAGUGAGAAUGCCGGUAUGAGUAGCGAAAGACGGGUGAGAAUCCCGUCCACCGAAUGCCUAAGGUUUCCUGAGGAAGGCUCGUCCGCUCAGGGUUAGUCGGGACCUAAGCCGAGGCCGAUAGGCGUAGGCGAUGGACAACAGGUUGAUAUUCCUGUACCACCUCUUUAUCGUUUGAGCAAUGGAGGGACGCAGAAGGAUAGAAGAAGCGUGCGAUUGGUUGUGCACGUCCAAGCAGUUAGGCUGAUAAGUAGGCAAAUCCGCUUAUCGUGAAGGCUGAGCUGUGAUGGGGAAGCUCCUUAUGGAGCGAAGUCUUUGAUUCCCCGCUGCCAAGAAAAGCUUCUAGCGAGAUAAAAGGUGCCUGUACCGCAAACCGACACAGGUAGGCGAGGAGAGAAUCCUAAGGUGUGCGAGAGAACUCUGGUUAAGGAACUCGGCAAAAUGACCCCGUAACUUCGGGAGAAGGGGUGCUUUCUUAACGGAAAGCCGCAGUGAAUAGGCCCAAGCGACUGUUUAGCAAAAACACAGCUCUCUGCGAAGCCGUAAGGCGAAGUAUAGGGGGUGACACCUGCCCGGUGCUGGAAGGUUAAGGAGAGGGGUUAGCGUAAGCGAAGCUCUGAACUGAAGCCCCAGUAAACGGCGGCCGUAACUAUAACGGUCCUAAGGUAGCGAAAUUCCUUGUCGGGUAAGUUCCGACCCGCACGAAAGGUGUAACGAUUUGGGCACUGUCUCAACCAGAGACUCGGUGAAAUUAUAGUACCUGUGAAGAUGCAGGUUACCCGCGACAGGACGGAAAGACCCCGUGGAGCUUUACUGUAGCCUGAUAUUGAAUUUUGGUACAGUUUGUACAGGAUAGGCGGGAGCCUUUGAAACCGGAGCGCUAGCUUCGGUGGAGGCGCUGGUGGGAUACCGCCCUGACUGUAUUGAAAUUCUAACCUACGGGUCUUAUCGACCCGGGAGACAGUGUCAGGUGGGCAGUUUGACUGGGGCGGUCGCCUCCUAAAGUGUAACGGAGGCGCCCAAAGGUUCCCUCAGAAUGGUUGGAAAUCAUUCGUAGAGUGCAAAGGCAUAAGGGAGCUUGACUGCGAGACCUACAAGUCGAGCAGGGACGAAAGUCGGGCUUAGUGAUCCGGUGGUUCCGCAUGGAAGGGCCAUCGCUCAACGGAUAAAAGCUACCCCGGGGAUAACAGGCUUAUCUCCCCCAAGAGUCCACAUCGACGGGGAGGUUUGGCACCUCGAUGUCGGCUCAUCGCAUCCUGGGGCUGUAGUCGGUCCCAAGGGUUGGGCUGUUCGCCCAUUAAAGCGGUACGCGAGCUGGGUUCAGAACGUCGUGAGACAGUUCGGUCCCUAUCCGUCGUGGGCGUAGGAAAUUUGAGAGGAGCUGUCCUUAGUACGAGAGGACCGGGAUGGACGCACCGCUGGUGUACCAGUUGUUCUGCCAAGGGCAUAGCUGGGUAGCUAUGUGCGGAAGGGAUAAGUGCUGAAAGCAUCUAAGCAUGAAGCCCCCCUCAAGAUGAGAUUUCCCAUAGCGUAAGCUAGUAAGAUCCCUGAAAGAUGAUCAGGUUGAUAGGUUCGAGGUGGAAGCAUGGUGACAUGUGGAGCUGACGAAUACUAAUAGAUCGAGGACUUAACCAU